UUUAUUUUAGCUGAACAGAGAAUAAAGAGGCCCCAGGGAGGCACCCUCAGAACACUGAGACUGAAAUGAAAAAGAUGAAAUUCAUCUCAUAAAACUUGAUCAGCAAUAAGAUGAGUCAUGUCACAGACAGGACCAAAGAAGGAAGAGCAGAGACCAGCAGAAAGGACUGUAAGUUCAACUGUGCUGCCUGCCUGACCCAGAGACCUGUUUGCUGGUGGACCCCAGGGCCAGCAUGCCUGCUGAUAUCCCUGUGUGCUUUUCUGAGGCCCGCAGGACAGACUCGGAGGAGGAUGGACAUCUCAGAAAGGAUGUGGAGCCUUCUCCAUCAGUCCAACUGGCAUGGCUCCUAUAGCCUGCAAGCCUUCCAGGGGACCAGAAAAACAAAAACAAAAGAACAACAAAAAACAAACCUUGAACAUUUAGAGUCAGAGAAAAUGUUUGAAUUUUUUUCUUACCUCAGAAAAAUAAAAAAUUUUAAGAGCUGUGGAAAUCUAUUAAAUUUGCCUAAAAUAGGAUAA
rnacentral:lncRNA from 1 species